GCGGCGUGGAUAAGGCAUGCAAGUCAAACGGGUCCCGACGGCAACGUCGGGAUACAGUGGCGAACGAGUUAGUAAUACCUUGGAACGUACCCUCGAGAUGAGAAUAACCCAUCGAAAGGUGGGCUAAUACUCAAUGGUCUGAUAGCCGAUUCUUACUUACAAGAAUCGAAAUUUUUAAUUUUUAAUUUUUAAUUUUUAUUGAAUUUUCAGUUAUUUAAUUUUUUAAAAUUAAGUCAUUGAGAUUUGAUUGGAAAUUGGAAAUUGGAAAUUGGAAAUUCCGAGUAACUCUUGCGGGUAGUAAUCGGUUAUCAGUAAAGACUCGCAAUACACCUACGGGUGGCUGCAGUCGAGAAUAUUCGACAAUGGGCGAAAGCCUGAUCGAGCGACGCCGC
rnacentral:ncRNA from 1 species